rnacentral:rRNA from 1 species
GGGGGAUAUUGCACAAUGGACGGAAGUCUGAUGCAGCGACGCCGCGUGUGGGAUGAAGGCUUUCGGGUUGUAAACCUCUUUUAUUCCUGAACAAGGCUUGGAUUGUUGUCUGGGUUGAGGGUAGGGGGUGAAUAAGCGCCGGCUAACUACGUGCCAGCAGCCGCGGUAAUACGUAGGGCGCGAGCGUUGUCCGGAUUUAUUGGGCGUAAAGAGCUCGUAGGCGGUUUGUUGCGUCUGCUGUGAAAACGCGGGGCUUAACUUCGCGCGUGCAGUGGGUACGGGCAGGCUAGAGUGCGGUAGGGGAGAUUGGAAUUCCUGGUGUAGCGGUGGAAUGCGCAGAUAUCAGGAGGAACACCGAUGGCGAAGGCAGGUCUCUGGGCCGUUACUGACGCUGAGGAGCGAAAGCGUGGGGAGCGAACA